UACAUCAACUCUUCUUUUUUUUCUUGCUGAAAUGAGUGGCUAUGACCACCUCUCACCCCCACCUCUCACCCCCACCUCUCACUCCCCACUCCCGCAGAAGUACAUCGAGACGCUCGAGGAGCUGCGGCCAAAGUCGAUGAGCAGACUGCGGGUCCAUGAGCAGACUGCGGGUCCAUGAGCAGACUGCGGGUCCAUGAGCAGACUGCGGGCGGCCCCGCAGACCCGCCAGGCGCAGCCAGGCGACUAGCCAGGGACCAGCCAGGCGACCAGCCGACGUCAGCGCCAGGUGCUGCUUGCUAUCACAAGCGUGGAGGAGGAGGGGGAUGAGGAGGAGGGGGCGUCGCAGUGCCUUGCAGUUCCCGGUAGUCAGGGUGUCCGACACGUACGCGUAUCACCUCGCGGGCACCUUGGCUCACAAAAACAAAAAUUACAAUGUCCAAUAUGCAAAAAACUGAUCAGUAAACAAAAAAAAACUUUUUACAUGACGAAGGUUAUAACGUUUAUGAACCAGAGCAUGAUAAAGUGUCAAUAACUGAUAAAAAAAAAUUUAGGAUUUAAUCCUUGACAAUAAAAUGUAUUUAGGUUUUAAUCCUUGACAAUAAAAUGUCUUU